GGGGCAACCUGGCGGCGAGCGGCGAACGGGUGAGUAAUGCAUCGGAACAUGUCCAUGUCGUGGGGGAUAGCCCGGCGAAAGCCGGAUUAAUACCGCAUACGCCCGAGAGGGGAAAGUGGGGGACCGCAAGGCCUCACGCGAUUGGGUUGGCCGAUGUCCGAUUAGCUAGUUGGCGGGGUAAGAGCCCACCAAGGCGAUGAUCGGUAGCUGGUCUGAGAGGAUGAUCAGCCACACUGGGACUGAGACACGGCCCAGACUCCUACGGGAGGCAGCAGUGGGGAAUUUUGGACAAUGGGGGCAACCCUGAUCCAGCCAUUCCGCGUGAGUGAAGAAGGCCUUCGGGUUGUAAAGCUCUUUUGUCCGGAACGAAACGGUGCACGUGAAUAUCGUGCGCUACUGACGGUACCGGAAGAAUAAGCACCGGCUAACUACGUGCCAGCAGCCGCGGUAAUACGUAGGGUGCGAGCGUUAAUCGGAAUUACUGGGCGUAAAGCGUGCGCAGGCGGUUUUGUAAGCCAGAUGUGAAAUCCCCGGGCUUAACCUGGGAAUGGCAUUUGGGACUGCAAGGCUGGAGUGUGGCAGAGGAGACUGGAAUUCCUGGUGUAGCAGUGAAAUGCGUAGAUAUCAGGAGGAAUACCGAUGGCGAAGGCAGGUCUCUGGGCUGACACUGACGCUCAUGCACGAAAGCGUGGGGAGCAAACAGGAUUAGAUACCCUGGUAGUCCACGCCCUAAACGAUGUCGACUGGUUGUUGGGGGUUUGACACUCUCAGUAACGAAGCUAACGCGUGAAGUCGACCGCCUGGGGAGUACGGCCGCAAGGUUAAAACUC
rnacentral:rRNA from 1 species